rnacentral:rRNA from 1 species
GUGCCCGUACCCCAAACCAACUCAGGUGGACAGGUAGAGAAUACCAAGGCGAUUGGGAGAACUAUGGUUAAGGAACUCGGCAAAUUGCAUCCGUAACUUCGGGAGAAGGAUGACCUCAUUAGGGUGAAAGACUUCGCGUCUUGAGCUUGAAGAGGUGGCACAGACCAGGGGAAAGCGACUGUUUACUAAAAACACAGCAGCGUGCUAAGUCCUAAGACGACGUAUACGCUGUGACGCCUGCCCGGUGCUGGAAGGUUACGGGGAAGGGUUAGCCUUCGGGCGAAGCUCUGAACCUAAGCCCCAGUAAACGGCGGCCGUAACUAUAACGGUCCUAAGGUAGCGAAAUUCCUUGUCGGGUAAGUUCCGACCUGCACGAAUGGCGUAACGACUUUCCCACUGUCUCAACCAUAGACCCAGCGAAAUUGAAGUACGAGUAAAGAUGCUCGUUAGCUGCAGAAGGACGGAAAGACCCCGUGGACCUUUACUACAGCUUGGUAUUGGUAUUUGUUAUGCGUUGUGUAGGAUAGGUGGGAGACUUUGAAGCAUUGGCGCCAGUCAAUGUGGAGUCACCCUUGAAAUACCACCCUGCGUUUGACGGAUAUCUAACCUAGGCCCGUGAUCCGGGCCGGGGACCGUGCCAGGUGGGUAGUUUGACUGGGGCGGUCGCCUCCUAAACGGUAACGGAGGCGCCCAAAGGUUCCCUCAGUCUGGUUGGCAAUCAGACGUCGAGUGCAAUGGCACAAGGGAGCUUGACUGCGAGACUAACAAGUCGAGCAGGUGCGAAAGCAGGGCAUAGUGAUCCGGCGGUUGCGUGUGGAAGCGCCGUCGCUCAACGGAUAAAAGGUACCCCGGGGAUAACAGGCUCAUCUUCCCCAAGAGUCCAUAUCGACGGGAAGGUUUGGCACCUCGAUGUCGGCUCAUCGCAUCCUGGGGCUGAAGCAGGUCCCAAGGGUUGGGCUGUUCGCCCAUUAAAGCGGUACGCGAGCUGGGUUUAGAACGUCGUGAGACAGUUCGGUCCCUAUCCUCUGCAGCCGGAGGAGAUUUGAGAAAAGCUGUCCCUAGUACGAGAGGACCGGGACGGACGUAGCUCUCGUGUGCCAGUUGUUCCGCCAGGAGCAUGGCUGGUUGGCGACCUACGGAAGGGAUAACCGCUGAAAGCAUCUAAGCGGGAAGCCUUUUUCAAGAUGAGAUCUCCCACCGGGAUAACCGGGUAAGGCCCGUGGUAGACCACCACGUUGAUAGGCCGGAGGUGUAAGCACGGCAACGUGUUCAGCCGACCGGUACUAAUCGGCCGAGGGCUUGGUUAC